UUAAAAUACCAGUUUCCGUAAGAUCACCGAAGUUAAGCAACGUCGUGCCUAGUCAGUACCUAGAUGGGUGACCUUUUGGGAAUAGCUG